UUUUUAUCUUCUAUCCAUUUUUUAUUACUGCUGUUAUUUUUUCUAAAUGCAACACCUUAAACUGAUUUUUACACAACUAACAAAAUAGACCCGUCUUCAGUUUUUAUACCUAAUAAUCCUGUCUGUAAGAAUCUAGUUUUACAAUUUAGUCAGUGCUAUGCUCCUUUAAAUAUAUUUUUUGAAACGAUAAAAAUUUAUUUUAAAAUUGUAAUGCUUUUUUUUGUAUCAUAGUGCGUUCUUGUGCAACAGCGACUUGUCGUGAAUAAAAAAGUUCAUCAAUUAAAGCCGCAGCGCUCAGCAGAGGCCAGAGACGCUCUUAGAAUUACUUUCCGCUCUAAUCACGAAACUUUGGAGCUGCGGCUCUAAAGUUUUACCGCUGCCGGCUAAAAUUAUGACAUUCCGACUUUCGAGACAAAAGAAAGAAGGAGGAAAAAAAAAAAAACGAGCAAAAGUAUCUCGCGUGUUUGUGUAAAUGUGAAGAAAUGUAAUUAGCUGCAGCAGAUGGAGAGUCUGCUGUACCUGCCGAUCUCUGGCCAUUUUUACACACACACACACACACACACACACACACACACACACACACACACACACACACACACACACACACACACACACACACACACACACGCGCGCGCGCGCGCGGAGAAACUUCACGUAGCGCCAAUCAGCAACACCGAAGGGUCUUUCAAAUUUUUUUUAUAAAAAAUAAUAACCUGAAUUUAAUCGAAUCAUCCAGACAGAUUUUAAAUCAGGAACACUGUAAAUUUGUCUUAGUAAAAUUUACUCAAAAAUGUACUCAGAAACAGAUAACAUUUGGACCCUCUCAAAAAAAAAAGAAAGAAAAUCUUCAAUUAGAGUAAAUUUUACUCAGACAAAUUCCCUGUGUAGACUACAUAUAUUCCAUUUGAUCUCAGUUAUUAAAGAAUGCAGUAAACUCGGUUUACACACAUUUACAAUUUUGCUGGAUUUGUUUUCUUAUCAAAAACCCGGAGAACGGUGUCAAUAAAGAGAAAUGUGACGUAAAAAAAAAGGCAAUAAUAAAAAUAAUACAUAAAAAUAAAAAAGUAUGUCUUUCAGUCAGUUUCCAGUGUGGACCAGCUAACUUCCACAUGUAGGUCAGGGGUCAGCAGGCUUUUUACUCCUGCCUCGUUGUGUUGAGCGCGAGUCCCUUUGAAGAUAAAGGAUUUACGAAAUUCUCCAGCUAGAAAAUAAAUGGAAAUUAUCUUUAUUAUAAGUGUGUCUGGUAUCAGUUAUUAAGUUUUAGGACCAAGGAAAUCACAAAUAACGUACAAAUAAAGUCAAUUAAUUUUAAAUAAAUGUUAAUGAAAAAGAAAAUUAGGAAGCUCAAUUAAAAAGAUAAUGAAUUUAAAGGCUGGAUAAAAGCAACAAAAUAAAAGAAAAUACAUAGAUAAAAUAAAAUAAAGAAAUCCCAUGUACUAUUAGUGUGAUUGUGGAACAUGGAUGCACUUACGCUCUCAAACCAGAUGGAAGACCUGCUAUAAUUUACAUUCCCCUUGCCUGUCUGUACAGAAAUCCUGAUUAUUCUUGUGUCAUCUGUGCUCUGAGUUGUUAGGGGCCAGAGCGGAGCUGCUGAAGAACCACAGCUGCAGGUGUCAGACCCUCGGUGUAGGUAACCUGUAGGUGAGUCGGCGUCCAACGUGUCCAAGUUGGCACCUGCAGCUCUCAUGCACCCCAUGUUUCUUCAGACGCCUCUCAGGGGAUUGAUGUGGGAGAACGCGACGUUUCAUCUCCUGUUGACGGACUCCACUCUAAACAACAGGUUUCUCACCAGGAACCACUGAAGACAGAUAAAUGGUAUCUGUUCUGAAUUCACCUGUUGGAUUCUCACUUCAUCCCUCCAGACAACACCUCAACAUCUUUCAAAAAAAUAAUAAUUUCAAAACACAAUAGCCAAACAGACAUAAAAACAGAAAAGUGGAAAAGUGAUCUGACACGGUGUUUUCCUGUUUUUAUGCGUGAGUUUCAGCUCCAGGGGGCACGGGUUCUGGUUCUGGUGGAGAGCUGCACACAGCCGUCCUCUCAGUUAAUGAAAACACAAGAUGGGAACGCAGAAGCUGCCAGGAGGCACUUCAACACUGACGGGGCAGCAGGAGUUCCAACCUGUACUGGUGGAUGUUUACCUGUGUCUUUGUCUCAUGUUUGGACUAAAUUGUAAGCUGGAACAUUUUCUUCCAAAGAAAACACAGAGGUCUGGAACCUUAAUGGAAGUUUGUGUUUUGGUCUGAGGUUUUAGCUCCUGAUUGUAAAAGUUAUGUUUGGCCCAGAAGAACGGGAUGGCCAUUGUGAAACAUGGUGAUGGCAGAAUCAUGCUCUGGGGUUACCAUUGUGACGCCACACUAGACUUUUUGUCAAAGCAGAUUAAAUAUUGAAAAGUUCAAAAUACUUUUGACCCUAAACCUUUUUGGUGUUUGACAGCUGGAGAUGAGGGAUUUUAUUCUACAGCCUAACUGAAAAUCAAAAUAAAAUUGGUUAAGUUACUUAAUCCAUUUCCUCAAGAAUAUGCAAACAUUUGCAAUUAGGUUAUUGCACAUUUUUUUCCUUCUAAUAAAUUGUCUUGCUCACAGUAUGUUAAAGGGGAUAAAAUCAUGAAAAUCAUUUUAAGUCUCAGAAACCAUGGAUUUCAUCAGGGGUGUGGAGACUUUAGCUGCAGCCAGCCCCCUCCAGCUGAAGCUGUACAUGGUUGGUCUUCUGCUCCUUAACCAGGCCCAGAAGCACGUCUUCUUCAGCCGGGACGGUGCCUAGCAGUUAGCUGCCUGGACCCGAUUCUGUGCAAUCAGGGCUUUAGUGCUGUGCUCCGUCACCAUAAUUCAUGCAUUCAAGCUAAAACACACAGUAUCCAGUGCAGUGAUAUGGCAAAAUACAUUUGUAAUAAAUGAUUAAAUGGAGAAAGAGAGCUCAUGGUUUGUCAUUUAUAGCAGAAAAAGUUUAACAAUAUGGCUGUAAUGUUAACAGUGAAAUCCGUGCAUUCAUACCAUGUUAACCGCUGUAAGAGCAUCUGCCAAUAAACUAACCUCUGACUGCAAA